rnacentral:rRNA from 1 species
GAUGAACGCUGGCGGCGUGCCUAAUACAUGCAAGUCGAGCGAACGGACGAGAAGCUUGCUUCUCUGAUGUUAGCGGCGGACGGGAGAGUAACACGUGGAUAACCUACCUAUAAGACUGGGAUAACUUCGGGAAACCGUAGCUAAUACCGGAUAAUAUUUUGAACCGCAUGGUUCAAAAGUGAAAGACGGUCUUGCUGUCACUUAUAGAUGGAUCCGCGCUGCAUUAGCUAGUUGGUAGGGUAACGGCUUACCAAGGCAACGAUGCAUAGCCGACCUGAGAGGGUGAUCGGCCACACUGGAACUGAGACACGGUCCAGACUCCUACGGGAGGCAGCAGUAGGGAAUCUUCCGCAAUGGGCGAAAGCCUGACGGAGCAACGCCGCGUGAGUGAUGAAGGUCUUCGGAUCGUAAAACUCUGUUAUUAGGGAAGAACAUAUGUGUAAGUAACUGUGCACAUCUUGACGGUACCUAAUCAGAAAGCCACGGCUAACUACGUG